AUGUUCAAUAAAUACCCCGGAAGGUUAACACUCCCCUUGAGAAGGAUGGAAGAGGUCCUAGUGGCUUUUACCACAAAUAUUUGGUUAAGGUAUUACCACCUACUUUGUGGCAUCUAACCAAGUUUU